UCCGGCUUGACGCCGGCAGUCCCCCGAGAGUCUUCAGCUUUACCUGUUAGUAACACGGGGCAAGGGUUGCGCUCGUUGCGGGACUUAACCCAACAUCUCACGACACGAGCUGACGACAGCCAUGCAGCACCUGUGCUAGUACCCGGCUCUACGGGUCGCCGACCCUUUCGGGCGACUACUACCAGCAUGUCAAGCCCUGGUAAGGUUCUUCGCGUUGCGUCGAUUUAAACCACAUGCUCCACCGCUUGUGCGGGCCCCCGUCAAUUCCUUUGAGUUUCAGCCUUGCGGCCGUACUCCCCAGGCGGGGCACUUAAUGCGUUAGCGCCGGCACUCAGGGGGUCGCUCCCCCAAGCACCUAGUGCCCAUCGUUUACGGCGUGGACUAC
rnacentral:misc_RNA from 1 species